CUCGGCAAGUCGCUCAAGGGCCACAUAGCCGCCACCACGAGCUCGGCCGGCUCCGAGGGCUCUUUCCUCACGCCGCUCCUGAAGCGCACGGCCUCCACGAAGAGCGCCCUGAAGCGAGCUCCCUCCGUGGUCAUCAUCGAAAAGGGGAAGGUGCUGCAGAAGAGAAAGGAGUGGGAGAUGAAGUCUGCCAUGUGACCAGCCCCUGGUGCCAGUGCCGCGUCCCCAAGGGCAGGAUCCGCCACGCACACGUACCCUGCCGGUCUGGGCGUCUCUCAGCACAACAUUAACGCUGCACGUGGAUCGUGCAGGACCAACUUGGUAUCUGUUUUCUAACCAUUGGUAUCAAAUGCUAUAAC